AUUGAACGCUGGCGGCAGGCCUAACACAUGCAAGUCGAGCGGAUGAAGGGAGCUUGCUCCUGGAUUCAGCGGCGGACGGGUGAGUAAUGCCUAGGAAUCUGCCUGGUAGUGGGGGAUAACGUCCGGAAACGGGCGCUAAUACCGCAUACGUCCUGAGGGAGAAAGUGGGGGAUCUUCGGACCUCACGCUAUCAGAUGAGCCUAGGUCGGAUUAGCUAGUUGGUGGGGUAAAGGCCUACCAAGGCGACGAUCCGUAACUGGUCUGAGAGGAUGAUCAGUCAAAAUGGAAAUGAGAAAAGGGUCAGAACCCUAAGGGAGGCAGCAGGGGGGAAAAAUGGAACAUGGGCGAAAGCCUGAUCCAGCCAUGCCGCGUGUGUGAAGAAGGUCUUCGGAUUGUAAAGCACUUUAAGUUGGGAGGAAGGGCAGUAAGUUAAUACCUUGCUGUUUUGACGUUACCAACAGAAUAAGCACCGGCUAACUUCGUG
rnacentral:rRNA from 1 species